UAAGGAAUAUUGGUCAAUGGACGCAAGUCUGAACCAGCCAUGCCGCGUGAAGGAUGAAGGUCCUCUGGAUUGUAAACUUCUUUUAUCUGGGACGAAAACGGGAUUUUUAUCUCAAUUGACGGUACCAGAGGAAUAAGCACCGGCUAACUCCGUGCCAGCAGCCGCGGUAAUACGGAGGGUGCGAGCGUUAUCCGGAUUUACUGGUCUUAAAGGGUGCGUAGGUGGGCUUAUAAGUCAGUGGUGAAAUCUCCGAGCUUAACUUGGAAACUGCCGUUGAUACUAUAGGUCUUGAAUUAUCUGGCGGUAAGCGGAAUAUGUCAUGUAGCGGUGAAAUGCUUAGAUAUGACAUAGAACACCAAUUGCGAAGGCAGCUUACUACAUAUAAAUUGACGCUGAGGCACGAAAGCGUGGGGAUCAAACA
rnacentral:rRNA from 1 species